GUGCUCACUUGGACAGCAUAUAUACUAAAACUGGAACAAAACAGAGAAGAUUAGCAUGGUCCAUGGGCAUGGAUGACAUGAAAUUUAUGAAGUGUUCCAUAUUUUU